GACGAACGCUGGCGGCGUGCUUAACACAUGCAAGUCGAACGGAAAGGCCCUGCUUGCAGGGUACUCGAGUGGCGAACGGGUGAGUAACACGUGGGUGAUCUGCCCUGCACUUCGGGAUAAGCCUGGGAAACUGGGUCUAAUACCGGAUAGGAGCCAUUUUUAGUGUGAUGGUUGGAAAGUUUUUUCGGUGUAGGAUGAGCUCGCGGCCUAUCAGCUUGUUGGUGGGGUAAUGGCCUACCAAGGCGGCGACGGGUAGCCGGCCUGAGAGGGUGGACGGCCACAUUGGGACUGGGAGACGGCCCAGACCCCAACGGGGGGCAACGGGGGGGAAUAUUGCCCAAUGGGCGCAAGCCUGAGGCAGCGGCGCCGGGGGGGGGAUGCCGGCCUUCGGGUUGAAAACCCCUUUCGCUGGGGACGAAGCUUUUUGGACGGGUCCCAAAAAAAAAACCCCGGGUAAAUUCGGG
rnacentral:rRNA from 1 species